ACGUUUCCACGGGUGGGAGCGUCUCGGGGGGGGGGCAGUCAUUUAAAGCUGUGACACAGGGGACUUUCUACUUGCAAAAGGUGGUGAACUUCUGGAACUUUCUGGGGAGUUGUGGAAAAUUCACUAGAUUCAUUGAUAAUUUUUUAAUGUAUGAGGAGCAUUUGAAGUCUCUGGGUGUGAACUCUAUGAAGUUCAGAAGGCUGGGGGGGGGGGUUACCACCAGCUACUGAAAGGCCUGAAUAGGGUGGACGUGAAGUAUUUCCAUUAAUAAGAGAGUCGUAGAAAAGGGCAGCGCAGAAAUGAGCCAUUUGGCCCAUCUAGUGCAUGCUGAAACCAUUUAAACUGCCUACUCCCAUCAACUCGCACUGGGACCGAAGCCUUCCAUUUCCUUGCCAUCCAUGUAACUGUCCAAACUUCUCGUAAACGUUUGAAAUCGAGCUCGCGUGUAUCACGUGCUGGCAGCCCAUUCCAUACUCUGAGCGAAGAAGUCCCCCCCCCCCCCCCGUGGUCCCCUCAACCUUCCCUAGGGUCCGGGAGCACGGCCUCAGAAUAAAGAAGAGACGAGGCGGGACUUCGGCGAAUCUGCAGGUUUUGUUGUGGUGGGAGGCCGAGUUGUUGGGCGCAUUUGGAGGCGGCGUUUGAUGGGUGACGGCGAGAAGGCGGGAGAAGGCCUGAAAGAAAACCGGUCACGAUUGAAUAGCAGAUCCGGCGAUGGGCCGAAUGGUCUGAUUCUGCUCCUAUAUGUAGUGAUGUGGGAAUUCGGAGCUAUGGUGAACUCACACAGAAGAGGCGAUGGGGCCUGAGGCAGCUCUGCAGGGAUAAUAUCGAGUGGCGGAGCAGGUUUCAGUUCUGUCCCUCUGUUCUUACCCAGAUGGGCCUUUGGGGUGUACUGUUGACUCAUUUCUCAUUCAGGCAUUUCCUUCUCUUUCCCUUACACGAGGGGUGAUUGAUAAGUUCAUGGCCUAAGGUAGGAGGAGUCAAUUUUAGAAAACCUAGCACGUUUAUUUUUCCUAUAUUUACACACUUAGUCCAGCGAUCGUGGAGCAUACGGAUCCCAUCUCUGUAGAAGUCGGCAUCUUGGACCUCCAGAAGUGCUCCACAGCAGGGGGUGAUUGAUAAGUUCGUGGCCUCUUAUACAGCACUCGUUACAUGUACAUGCAGGUCAGCUCUUUGAGUGAAAAUGCAGAAAGUUUGAAGUUAUUAACUCAUCUCCUUCAACCUUAGGCCACAAACUCAUCAAUCACCCCUGCUGUGGACACUUUCUGGAGGUCCAAGAUCCGUACGCUCCACGACCGCUGGACUAAGUGUGUAAAUGUAGGAGGGGACUAUGUUGAAAAAUAAAUGUGCCAGGUUUUCUAAAAUUGACUCCUCCUACUUUCGGCCACGAACUUAUCAAUCACCCUCUCGUAAUUCAAUAGUAAGGUGUAUAAUCAAUCCAUACAUUAGUAAUUCAGGAGUCCUGAAUUCGGUAUGUAAAACCAGAAUCAGGUUUAUUAUCACCGGCAUGUGUUGUGAAAUUUGUUAACUUACAGCUGCAGUUCAAUGCAAUACAUAAUAAUAUAGAAAGAAAAUAAAUAAGUAAAUCAUUUACAGUAAGUAUAUUUAUGUAUAUUAAAUAUACAUAAUAUUUCUAUAGUUGUACCAUGGAGAGCAUUCUGACAGGCUGCAUCACUGCCUGGUACGGAGGGGCUUCUGCACAGGACUGAAAGAAGCUGCAGAGGGUUGUAAAUCUAGUCAGCUCCAUCUUGGGUACUAGCCUACAAAGUACCCAGGACAUCUUCAGGGAGCGGUGUCUCAGAAAGGCAGCGUCCAUUAUUAAGGACCCCCAGCACCCAGGAUGCACACUCAGCGAUUCAGGAACAAUUUCUUCCCCUCUGCCAUCCGAUUCCUAAAUGGACAUCGAACCCUUGGACACUACCUCACUUUUUAAAAUAUACAAUUAUUUCUGUUUUUUUGCAUGAUUUUAAUCUAUUCAAGAUACAUACGCUGUAAAUUGAUUUACUUAUUAUUAUUUUUUCUUCUAGAUUAUGUAUUGCAUUGAACUGCUGCUGCUAAGUUAACAAAUUUCAUGACACAUGCUCGUGUUAAUAAACCUGAUUCUGGUUCUAAAUAGUUAGAUUCAAAAUAAUGGAAAACAGAAAUAAUAUGUUAAAAAAAAGAGUGAGAUAUUGUUCAUGGUUCAAUGUCCAUUAACGAUGGAUGUCACCUUUCAGAGGCACUGCUCCUUGAAGAUGUCUUGGGUGCUACGAAGGCUAGUACCCUUGAUAGAGAUGACUAAUUUGACAGCUCUCUGUAAGUUCUUUCAGAUCUAGUUUGAGAAUACAUAAUUGAAAUCUGUAAGUAGAAUAGUGAAUGAUCUUUACAGUCCCAACAUUAGGACUUCCCAGGUGUAGAGACUCUAAGUAAAGAACCAUGUCAGGACAUAAACCGCUCCGCAAACCCUCAUCUGAGACCCUCCCACCCGGGCAGUGUUCCCAGCCUCUUUAGUGUCGUGGACCCAUAUCAUUAAGCUAGGGGUCCAUGGACCCCUAGUGGACAACCCAUGCGUUAGUGGAAACAUCUCAACGUCUACCCUUUCACACACCGUUUAGGAUCUUACGUGUUUUAGUAAGCUCACCUCUCAUUCCAAUAAGCUUCAAAGAAUUCAGAAUCAAAAUGAGAAUCAGACUAUGAAGCAACACACACACAAAAUGCUGGUGGAAUGCAGCAGGCCAGGCAGCAUCUAUAGGGAGAAGCACUGUCGACGUUUCGGGCCGAGACCCUUCGUCAGGACUGACCAAAAGGAAAGAUCCAGAGUAACACUUAUUUUGUUGUCCUUUACACUUGUGUAAGAAGGGACAUUAAACAAUAUUGAAUCUCGAGGAGAGUCUGCAGAUGUUGGAAGUCCAGAGCAACACACACAAAGUGCUUUAUGAACUCAGCAGGUCAGGCAGCAUCUAUGGAGGGGAGUAAACAGUUUCGGGCCAAGACCCUUCAUCAAUCCCGAAGGGCUGAAUUAUACUGCAAUGUGGGCUUGCUGGCUGGAAAAGGGUCCCCUAUUCCCCACUACUGCCUGUGCUGAGAAUGGGGAAGAAGGUUGUUAUAAGGCAUGAAAGUGAAAGAUUUGUGGUCUCCAAAACCAGGCUUUUUAAGGAAACGAUUAGCACGGUGCACGGUUGCAUGAUGUCUCAGCGCCUGUUAUACUUCUGUAUAAUCAGCCAUGUGAACGGAAGGUUGAUCCAAGUGGCACCUGUUCUACAUGCCCAGUUAUCAUUCUAUUUAUCUGGUUAUUUAUUUAUUCAGUUGCAGUGCAGAGUGGACUCUGCUGGACGCUGCCCAGCAAACCCCCCCCCCCCACCCUAUUUAACGCUAGCCUAAUCGCGGGACAAUUUACAACGACCAAUUAACCUACCAACAGGUACGUCUUUGGACCGUGGGAGGAAACCGGAGCACCCGGAGGAAACCCACGCGGCCACGGGGAGAACGUUCGAACUCCUCGCAGACAGCGGCAGGAAUUGAACCCGUCUCGCCGGUACCGGGAAGCUGUAUGCUCGCCACUACGCUACCGUUCAGCGCCCCAAGGAGAUUCACAGAAACAUCAUUAGGAAGAGCUCAAUGGCAAGCCAACAGGUCUUAAAGAGAAGAAAGUGAGGUGGAGAUGUGGGGGGGGGGGGGAAGCGAGAGAUUAUUUAUUUAUUAGAGAUUCCCCAGCUAUGGGUAAAUAGCCCCCCUGCCUUGGGGGGGCAGACGAAGGCUACGGGAGUAAACCCAGACAGCAAAUCCGGAGUGGAGCCCUCUAAGGCGACUGGACAUCACUGAACGUCCUCCCGGCAGCUCCUGCAGCCAAGCUGGUGCCAAAUGUCCUUUGAUGAGGAUGCAAGGAGGGGGGUAUCUUGACGACCGGGCAUCCCAGGAUCCCAUACCUUCUGUACGGGCUUGUGCCCUGGGGAGGUCACUCCAGAGACGCUGUUCGCAGCGACUGACCCAUAGCGCGCACUGUAUUCCCAUCGCUCUUCGAGAGGGAGACGGAUGCCAACACUGUCAUCAGAGAUACAACGAGACACCGCCCAAAAGAAGGCAAUGUCAAACCACUUCUGCAGACAAAAUCUUCCAAGGUCAAUCACGGUCAUGGAAAGGCCAUGACUGUCCCCCGCCACAUGACAUGGGUUUACAAGAGAUACAGCAAAGUAACAGGUCCUUGCAGCCAAUGAGCCCACGCCACCCAAACACAACCAAGGGAGCUAUUAUCCUAGUAACCCGUAUGUCUCUGUAAUCUUACAGAGGUUGAUAGAUUGUUGAUUGGUCAGGGCAUGAAGGGAUACAGGGAGAAGGCAGGAGAUUGGGACUGAGAGGGGAAAAUGGAGCAGCCAUGAUGAAAUAGUGGAGCAGACUCGAUGGGCCAAAUGGCCUAAUUCUGCUCCUAUAUCUUAUGGUCUUAUGGAAACCAGAGCACUUGGAGGAAAUCCACGCGGUCACGGGGAGAACGUACAAUCUCCUUACCGACAGUGGUGGGGAUUGAACCUGGGUCUCAGGCACUGGACAGUGUUACACUAAAGGCUGAUUUAUUCUUGUGUGUAUGGUCUACGCUGUAACCUUGAUUUUCACUUCUGCGUCGCUCUACGCCAUAGCGAGCAUGCGUCGGUGUGCGCCAAAAUGCUAGCUGGCGGUGGGGUUUCUGUGCCACCGUGUUGAGUUUCUUCGUGAGAGACACGGAAGAGGAAACGCACUUCGAACACUUUCGCGUGUCGGCGGGUGGAUUUGGCGAUUUGGCGAUUUGGCUCAUCUAUUUUGCAUUGGCGUACAGACACGGCGGAGAAGAAGCAACCGGAAGUGCGUAGGAGGAAAUGCAAUGCUGCCAAGCGGACCAAUCACAGUUGUCGCGGUCUGCGUCGCCACGGCGCGCGAGUAACUUUUCUGGAGAGGUGCAUGUCACCCUGCGGCGUAGAGUACGGUGUCGAUGUGACACUCAAGCAUAAAUCAGCCUUAACUACUACACCACUGCGCCGCAUCUAAGAGAACAUAGCCCACCCACAACUUGUUAACUCUACAGCGUAGCAGUUAGUACAGUGCUGUGACAGCGUUGGAGUUCAGAGUCCAAUUCGGACAUCGUCUGCAAAGAGCCUGUAUGUCCUCCCCAUGACCUCAUGGGUUUCCUCCCACAGUACGGUCAGUAGGUUAAUUGGUCGCCGUAACUCGUCCCCUGAUAAGACCAGAGUUAAAUCGGUAGGUUGCUGCGUGGCGCAGUCUGAAGGGAGGAAACGCUGUAUCUCCAAAUGAAAAGUUUAAAAUAUGUCUUUGGAAUGUGGGAGGGAACAGGAGGACGUGGAGGAAACCUGCACGGUCAUGGACAGAACGUUAAAAACCCCUUUUACAGAGAGCGGUCGGAGCUGAACUCCAACCGGCGCUUGCUGUCACGGUAAAUCGUUGUGCUGACCGCUACAGUACCGUGCGAAGAUCUUAUUCUAAAACUCGGGGUCUAAGCAGCUGGAGGCUCACCUGUCAGUCAUACGAUGCCUCGGAUAGGGUGAAUGCAUGGAAUCUUUUACCCAGGGGUGGAAAAUCAAACACUGCAAGGCAUGUAUUUAUGGUUACAGGGGGAACUAAAGAUCAAUAUUUUCAUACAGAGGGUGAUUUGUGGAUUAAUUGCUGGAGGAAAUGGUCCAGGUAGGUUCAUUAACAUCUCAAAGACACGGUGCAUUGCCUGAUAUCAGGAGGCAAAGGGUAGGAAUAAAGGGGGCCUUUUCUGGUUAGCUGUCGGUGUCGGGAUGCUUCUUUUCACGUUACACGUCACUGAUAUGGAUUACAGAAUGGACGUCUUUGUGGCCAAGACUGCAGAUGGUACAAAGAUGGGUGGAGGGGCAGGUAGUGCUGAGGAAGCAGGGAGUCUGAGGAAGGACAGACAGAUUAGGAGAAUGGGCAAAGAAAGGGCGGAUGGAAUAUAGAGUAGGGAAUUGCAAGAUCAUGCACUUUGGUAGAAGGAAUGACGGUGUAGACUAUUUUCCAAACAGGGAGGAAAAAUUCAAAUAUCAGAGGGACCGGGGGAUUUGGAAGUUCUAAUGCAGGUUUUCUCCACCAAGAGGACCACAACCACUUCAUUGAGUUUGGAGGUUUGCGUGCCUCAAUGACCUUGAGGCUGUGUCGGCUGGAGUCAGGGCUUUAUGCUUUGACUCUUGGUAGGGUCACCCAUGACAGACAGGUCAGAGGGUAGAGGUCAGACUAAGAGUGUCCACCGGUCCUCCAGGUUCGGGGGUUCAGCUCAGGGCUAAGAACCUUGACUGGUCAAAAAAGAAUUGUUGUACAAACAGCAAUGAAGAUUUACUACCCUAAACACUAGUAACAUAAAGGGCAUUUGAUGAUGAAGAUGCAGGAUUCCCUAAAGGAUAAUUUGCAGCUUGAGUUACUGGUAGUUGUUGACAAUGUUAGCAUUCAUAUUGAGAGAGCUAGAAUAUAAAAGCAAGGAUGUAAUUUUAAGGAAGAGUGUGCCGGGAGAAGUUGGGUGCAUCAGGAGGAGAGAGAAAGAACAGGGGAUAAGUGUUGCAUGAAAUUGGAAAGUUCAAUGAUUGUGUUGUUGGUGUGUGCCCCACCCAGGGGAAUAUGAGAUGUCAAUCUUGUAGUUAGCGUUGGGACUCACUCUGGGAGCGAAGGAGGCCGAGGGCAGCCAGGUCGGUGUGGGAAUGGUUUCUGAGGUGAAAUGACUUAUAACCAGGAUGUCAGGAUGGCCAUUGUGGUGUUCCUACCAUUACUGAACUAUUCCCAACACUAUUCCCGACUCUCACGGACUCUUCAUCUCAUGUUCUCAAUAUUUAUUGCUUAUUUAUUAUUAUUGUUUCUUUUUUUCUUUCUUUUUGUAUUGCACAGAUUGUUGUCUUUUGCUCACUGGUUGAAUGCCCUGUGGUUGCGGUCUUUCGCUGAUUCUAUUAUGAGUCACUGACCCAUAGAGAACUACAGCACAGAAACAGGCUCUUCGGCCCAUCUAGUCCAUGCCGAAACCACUUAACCUACCGACUCCCAUCGACCUGCACCGGGAUCAUACCCCUCCACACCCCUCCCAUCCACAUACCUACCUAAACUUCUCUUAAACAUUGAAAUCGAGCUCAUGUACACCGCUUGUGCUGGCAGCUCGUUCCACCCUCUUGAGUGAAGAAGUUUCCCCUCAUGUUUCCCUUUAAACUUUUCAACUUUCUCCCUUAACCCAUGACCUCUGGCUGUAGUCCCACACAACCUCAGAGGGAAAAACCUGCUUGUAUUUAUCCUAUUAUACCCCUCAUAAUUUUGUAUAACACUAUCAAAUCUCCUCUCCAUCUUAUACAUUCUAAAGAAUACAGUCCUAACCUAUUCAAUCUUUCCUUAUAACCCAGGUCCUCCAGGCCUGGCAACAUCUUUGUAGAUUUUCUCUGAGCCCUUUCAAGCUAAUUUCCAUCUUUCCUGUAGGUGGGUGACCAAAAGUGCACAAAAUACUCCAAAUUCAUGUGCCAAGAUGGCGGCGCGAUGCAGCUUGCGGCGGCCACUCCAGAGCUGAUUAUCUGUUAUUUGCGAAGCGGGGUGUCGUGUGCAAUCAUAAUCGGAUGAACGACGGACGUGGGAGCACGGAGGAACAUCGGGAAAUCUCCAGGAAGACCUUCUUCGUUGCUGCUGCUGCUGUGAGGUCCGGGGCUCUGCUGGGAAGAACAGGCCCCCAGUCCUCGGGGUCGCGUUGCCGAUGGCCGUUGGCGGGGACGUCUUAAUACGCUCGGCAGAGGAUGGUGCUCGGAGAAGCUGUGCCUGAGGGGAUGGUCGAUGGACUUGGAGUCCGCUGCGGUCAGGUUGCUUUCGCUGUGUGCUGCGUCUGCGAGGCUGGGCUCGACGGAGCUUUCAUUGUGUGCUGCGUCUGCGAGGCUGGGCUCGACGGAGCUUUCAUUGUGUGCUGCGUCUGCAAGGCAGCGCCGUGGAAGUCCAUAGCGGGGGUAUUCCCUUCUGCCGCUGGCGUGGGAUGGCGAGUCAAAUCAGGACCUUGAGGACUUGUGGAAUCUGUGUGGUGAUUUCUUUCGAACUUAUAGUCUUUUAACAUCUUUGGACUAUUUUUACUGUGCCCAUGGUCUGUUUUUUUUUAAUCAAUUUUGCUAUUGUUUGCACUGUUGUAACUAUGUGGUUUUGUGCAGGUCUUAUAGCUUUAGUUUUUGGUCUUGUUUGUCUGGUGGAUUUGGAGCUCCUUUCCGGGGAACGCGCUAAGACGGUAGCGUGAUAUUAAUAUGCAGCAGCCUCUCCGGACUCUGGAUUGGGGAUUGCCAAACGUUAUGUGGAUUUUCUGGUGUAGUCAGUUUUGUCAUGUGCUUUUGUGAUAUCAUUCUGGAGGAACGUUAUCUCAUUUUUUAACUGCAUUGCAUUUUUGUUUUCUAAAUAACAAAAAACUGAAUCUGAAUCUGAAUACUCCAAAUUAAACCUCACCAAUGUCUUGUACAACUUUGACAUAACACACCAUCUCCUGUACCCAAUACAUUGAUUUGUGAAGGUCAAUGAGCCCUGAUUAUUGGAUUUACUGAAUAUGCCCACAAGAAAAUGAAUCUCUGUGUUGUAUAUGGUGACAUAUAUGUGCUUUGAUAAUAAGUUUACUUUGAACUUUAAAAAAUGGUUGCCUUGUUUAUAUUUGGUCAAUGUAGAUGAAGCCACAUCAGGAGCCUGGUAUGCAGAGGGCAAGAUGUACCUAGGAGGAUCUUUGUCUCAGCCAGGAGAGCUGUAUUGGUCCCCUAGAUGGAGGUAAAGGGAGGAGGUCCAGGGGUGGGUGUUGCAUCUCCUCUGGUUACAGAGGUCCUCACAACCGUCCUCAUGUUUGGUGCCAGGAAUGGACACCAAACACCCGCUGCGGGCAGAUCGACACACACACACCGAAAAAAAAGCAGGUUGGCACCCAUGGAAAUGAACAGUCGACACUUCAGGCCAAGACCCUUCCUCGGGGUUGGAGAGGAAGGGGGGGAAGACGCCAGAAUAAAGAAAGAAUGGGAAAGUGGUGGGGGGGACACCUGGAAGGUGAUGGGUGAAGCCAGGUGGGUGUGAAAGGCCAAGGGCCGGAGAGGAAAGAAUCUGAUAGGAGAGGAGAGGAGAAAGGGAAGGAGGAGGGGACCCAGAGGGAGGUGAGAAGAGGCCAGAGUGGGGAAUAGAAAAAGAGGGGAGCAAACUGUUGUUUUGUAAAGCAUUAUCAUGACUUUCUUGUCCUUGUUCACUGUGCCCCACACACAAAUCCUUCAUGCCAUUUUAACUGCGUUCCUGACACAUCCAAUGACUCAAGCAUACAGUGUAUUCCCCCAGAUCUCUCAGCUCCUUUAUCCAGUUUAUUAGACCACAGGAUAUAGGAGCAGAACGAGGCCAUUUGGCCCAUCACAUCUGCUCUGACAUUUCAUCAUGGCUGAUCCAAUUAUGCUCUUAACCCCAAUCUCCUGCUUUCUCACCCCCCCAUAACCCUUCAUGCCCUGACGAAUCAAGAAUCUAACAACCUGUGCCUUAAAUGUACAUAAAAACUUGUGGUAAUGAAUUCCACAGAUUCACCACUCUCCGGCUAAAGAAAUUCCUCCUCAUCUCCAUUCUAAAAGGAUGCCCCUCUAUUCUGAGGCCGUGUCCUCUGGUCUUAGACUCUCCCACCACAGGAAACGUCCUCUCCACAUCCACUCUAUCGAGGCCUUUCACUAUUCGAUAGGUUUCAAUGAGGUCACCCCUCAUUCUUCUGAAUUCUAGUGAAUACAGGCCCAGAGCCAUCAAACGCUCUUCAUAUGACAAGUCAUUCAAUCCUGGAAUCAUUUCGUGAGCCUCCUUUGAACCCUCUCCAGUUUCAGCACAUCCUUUGUAAGAUAAGGGGCCCAAAACUGCUCACAAUACUCCAAGUGAGGCCUCACCUGUGCUUUAUAAAGUCUCAACAAUAUAUCUUUGCUUUUAUAUUCUAGUCCUCUUGAAAUGAAUGCAAUUGCAUUUAUAUUACCUCUUUCCAAUCUUCUUCCAGAAAUGUAACACCUGAGAUUCCCCUACAUUAAAUUUUGUCUAAGACUUGUCCACUUAUUCCAGCAACCUGUCUGUUUCCUCUUGGAGUCUAUUGGUUCUUAGUUACCUACUAGUUGUUAGCUCCAUGUAAAUGCACUCGUUAGAUAGCAGUGAGGGGUCAAAGUCAAUGUUCAAAGUGAAUUCAUAAAGUACGUAUGACCAAGUCCUAAAGAAACUGGCGGAGAUCCUGGAGACCUGCAGGCGGGAUGUGAGAGGUGGCCUUUCCCCAGUGGGACGGCAACUCAUCCCAUUUGUAAUGGGCGCUGAAUGCCGCCCAAGGGCUCCUCUCCACAGGCAUGGAGUGGAGCAUGGGGGCAGAUAGCUACAGUUCCCCGCAGUAAUCACCACCACAUCUCUCCAUAGUCCUCAUUGAGUUAACCAACCUAAGGAAUGGAGGGGAGGCUGCCCAUGGGCAGAAGAGGCUGAUGUAUUCAGACCUGGCAGCUGAGUGUGAGAGUGUGCGUCCUUAACUCCUGGUGGCGUCGUCGGGGCGCCGUCACGACAAGCUUUUUACACCGACCCUUUUGGCGAUUGCUCAUCGUACGGCGUGUCCUGGACAUCUGAAACCUGGUGGAGCCCAUCCCUCUCCAGGUUUUUAUUUACGAGGUCAAGCUGCUAGCUCGACGCUCGCCCCAGGCACGGACGGAAAGCGUGCAAGGGAGCCGGCCGGGUUCGAACUCGGGACCUCUUGCCCCGGAGCCCAGCGCUAAUGCCGCUACACCACCAGCCGGAUGCAGCUGAGUGUCAGGACCAUCAUCUACCCCAUGGAGGAAGGCUGCCAGGGCUUUGUCGCCACGGCAACGACAAGGUUAGUCCACAAUAUGGCAGUGUCUGGAGUGAGGCUCGGGAGACCCGCCCGAGAGAAAAGGGCAGCGCUUGGCUGCGGCUGAGGAGGAACGACGGAAACUGGGGGACCGGCUAACGCCAUCGAAGGCUGCAGGUGCUGGCAGGGAGACAUCCCUACCACUGCUCCAGCAAACAUUAGUGAAUGGUGGUCCCUGGCAGACGUCCCUGCAGCUGACCCAAGGGCACUGUUGAAGAUGCGGCAGACAGCAAUGCCAAGCAGGAAACAACAUCUUCCUGUAGAUCACUCAAAGUGCUGAUGGAGUCCUCGGCCCGAAACGUCGACAGCGCUUCUCCCUGUAGAUGCUGCCUGGCCUGCUGCGUUCCACCAGCAUUUUGUGUGUGUUGUUGUUAACGUCGACAGUGCUUCUCCCUGUAGAUGCUGCCUGGCCUGCUGCGUUCCACCAGCAUUUUGUGUGUGUUGUUGUUAACGUCGACAGUGCUUCUCCCUGUAGAUGCUGCCUGGCCUGCUGCGUUCCACCAGCAUUUUGUGUGUGUUGUUGUUAACGUCGACAGUGCUUCUCCCUGUAGAUGCUGCCUGGCCUGCUGCGUUCCACCAGCAUUUUGUGUGUGUUGUUGUUAACGUCGACAGUGCUUCUCCCUGUAGAUGCUGCCUGGCCUGCUGCGUUCCACCAGCAUUUUGUGUGUUUUGCUCGAAUUUCCCACAUCUGCAGAUUUCCUCGUGUUUGCAUCUUCCUGUAAAUCUCAUUAUCACCAUAUAUACAACCCUAAGAUUCUCAUUUUUUGCAGGCAAAGUUCAAAGUAAAUUUAUUAUCAAAGUGCAUAGUUGUCACCAUAUAUUUCUCCCUGUAUCCUGUCAUAUCAAUGACAGUAUCUUACAACAUAAAGCAUAUAACAUAAAAUGUAUCUUAUAACAUACUUAACUCCUCUGCCAUUUCUGUGUUUCCACAUCUAUUUCCCAACACUCAUUCUCUUGGGCCUCUGUUUACUUUGAUUUUUCUCUUCUUAUGGACUUUUUAAAGUUCAAGGUAAACUUAUUAUCAAAGUACAUCUAGAUCACCGUAUACAGCCCUAGAUUCAGUUUCCUGCAGGAAAUUCUAUAACCAUAGACAAUAGGUACAGGAGUAGGCCAUUCAGCCCUUCGAGCCAGAACUGCCAUUCAAUGUGAUCUUGGCUGAUCAUCCACAAUCAGUACCCCAUUCCUGCCCUCUCCCCAUAUCCCUUGACUCCACUAUCUUUCAGAACUCUGUCUAACUCUUUCCAGAAAGCAUCCAGAGAAUUGGCCUCCACUGCCUUCUGAGGCAGAGCAUUCCAUAGAUCCACAACUCUCUGGGUGAAAAAGUUUUUCCUCAACUCUGUUCUAAAUGGCCUACCCCUUAUUCUUAAACUGUGGUCUCUGAUUGUGGGCUCCCCCAACAUCGGGAACAUGUUUCCUGCCUCUAUAGUGUCCAAUCCCCUAAUAAUCUUAUAUGUUUCAAUCAUGAUAGUAUCAAUGAAAGACCGGACAACAGGGUGGACAACAAACUAUACAAAUACAAAAAGAAUUAAAUGAUAAUAAGUAAGAAAUAAAUAUCAAGAACAUGAGAUAGAGUCCCUGAAAUUGAGUCUAUAGGUUGUGGAAACAGUUCAGUGAUGGGGCAAGUCAAGUUGUCCCCUCUGGUUCAAGAACCUGAUGGUUGAGGGGUAAUAACUGUUCCUGAACCUGGUGGUGCGAGUCCUGAGGCUCCCGUACCUUCUCCAUUUGCUUAUGGGCAUACUCAAUAUUUUUUUACAAAAAGGCAGAGGAUAGAAUUCAUGAAAAGUUCAACGUAAGCGGUGGCAAGCAAGCAACGUGAAAGAGAUGUGAGAAGCACGGAGGAACAUCUGGUGGGACUUUUGAAAUGCCUGUUUCGCUGCCGCUGCUACUGUGCGAUCGGAGAAAUCUCCGGAGAGGAAGGCCCCGAAUCCUCGGCUUUGCCCGUGGCUUGGCGGCCGGGGCCGGGGUCGAAGCGUUCGGCAGAGACGGUGCUCGGUGUCGGAGGGCUGAUCGGAGGCUCGAAGUUUUCGGACGGACUGGGAGUUGGCUGUGGUCGGAGCUCCCAAAGUGCUGUAUCGGCAAGCUGCAGCGCUGGAGGUUCAUGGCAGGAAGAGUUUUUCUUCCUUCUACUGUCUGCGUGAGAUGAUGGGCUGCCGAGACUUUGAGACUUUCUUUUAAACCGUGCAUGGACUGCUCGUUAUCAGAUUACGGUAUUGCUUUGCACUGUUGAAACUAUGUGUUAUAAUUAUGUGGUCUUUGUCAAUUAGUCUUUUAUCAAUUAUGGUAUUGCCUGCACUGUUGAAACUAUAUGUUGAUUAUAACUAUAUGUAACUGUGUGGUUUUGUGUAGGUCUUGUAGCUUUAGGUUUGUCUGAUGGGUUUGUAGUUCCUUUCCGGGGAACGUGCUAAGACGGUAGCGCGAUAUCGAUAUGCAGCAGCCUCUCCGGACUCUGGAUUGGGGAUUACCAAACGUUAUGUGGUCUGUUUUGUGCUUUUUCGUGAUAUCAUUCUGGAGGAACGUUGUCUCAUUUUUUAACUGCAUUGUAUUUGUGGUUUAUAGAUGACAAUAAACUGAAUCUGAAGAGACGGAGACAGGCGGUCAGACAAGAGAGAUGCCCACAGUGCUUCAGAGGCACGAUCCAGUGACACCGUGAGACAAAGUGUUCUCCAACACACUCCAAUCUGCAUCACGUUCGACAGGGGUUGUACUGAGAGCAUCCCAAGCAGCUGCAUCACUGCCUGGUUCGGAAAUUGCACCAUCUCGGAUCACGAGACCCUGCAGCGGAUAGUGAGGUCAGCUGAGAAGAUCACCGGGGUCUCUCUUCCCGCCAUCACGGACAUUUACACCACACACUGCAUCCGCAAAGGAAACAGCAUCAUGAAGGACCCCACACACUCCUCAUACAAACUCUUCUCCCUCCUGCCAUCUGGGAAAAGGUACCGAAGCAUUCGGGCUCUUACGACCAGACUAUGUAACAGUUUCUUCCCCCAAGCUAUCAGACUCUUCAAUACCCAGAGCCUGGACUGACAACUUACAACUAUUGUCCUGUUUAUUAUUUACUGUAAUGCCUGCACUGUUUUGUGCACUUUAUGCAGUCCUAGGUAGGUCUGUAGUCUAGUGCAGUUUUUUUUCUGUGUUCUUUUCACGUAGUUCAGUCUAGUAUUUGUACUGUUUCAUGUAGCACCAUGGUCCUGAAAAAACAUUGUCUCAUUUUUACUGUGUACUGUGCCAGCAAUUAUGGUCAAAAUGACAACAAAAAAUGACUUGACUUGAUGUUGGAUAUCCAAACCACGGGCACAAAAGGCUGAAGGAGAUCAACGAGCCCAGGCAGCAUUCAUGGAAAUGACCAAUUAACCUACCUUUGGACUGUGGGAGGACCCGAGAAAACCCACGCGGUCACAGGGAGAACAUACAAACUCCUUGCAGGCAGCAGCGGGGAUUGAACUCGGGUCGCCGGUAUUUGUAAAGCGUUGUGCUGACCGCUACACUACAGCUGCGCCCCAGUUCAGGGGCUCGAGAAACCCAGAAGGCCAAAGCUCUACGGCAACUCCAGAGGACCACAGGGCUCGCAACUGGGCGGGGCGGUUGGUAUUACAUGGCACCACCCAGCACGGCUCCCUUCAUACGCCGUGUCUUGGGCAUUGCAAAGCGUCCCUGGACACCUAAAACUUGGUGUUGCACGGAGCAACCGAGCAGAACCCGAGCGCAGGACACGGGCACGGGGAUUGAGUUGGGGACGCGGGCGCAGGCAUGAACGUUGAACAGCAAACCGGAGGAAUCUUGACACAGAGACGGAGUUCUCUUGGAAUAUCUUGAAGCUGAAGCUGGACUUAGGACACCAGUAGUGCAAUCAAUACUUCAGUGUAAAUACAGAGUAAUACCCCCCCCCCCAGUACAUGCUCGCAAUACAAAUACCAGACAAUACAUCCAAAAGCGAGUAAAUUUAUAGUUAUUUCUUAGUGAUGGGUUAGUAGAAGCUGAUAACCUAAAGGCGCCAAAUCAGUAAGUUUAUCAGCUUGUGCGCAUAAUAUUUUAAUACGUUGGAGCUCACGCCUCCGGUUCCAUCCCCAACGACCUUCCGAGCCUCCGGCCACCGUCCGAACCGCCAACGUCCAGUAUCCUCUGCUCUGGAACCGCUGUCCGCUCCUCACACGUCCGUUCCCCUCGCUCACCUCCCGAUAAAGACCGCGAACUCCCCUCAGCUUACACAUACACGAUAGCAAAACCAUUCUCCACUGGUUAGUUUCCCCCUUAUCAGUAGUCAUAACCCAAACAUACCAGACACAGAAACCCAUUACAGCAUUGAAUAACGUUACAGAGAGGCCAUUUCAUUAUAACAAUGAAAUAAUGAAUUGUUUCAUUAUAACAAUACGUUUUGUUAGCAUGACCAGUUAACAUCACUGUUACUGGUACUGGGAGCCCCACACAAGUUUAAACUAAUCCCAUCCACUGCACAUGAUGCAUAUCCCUCCAUGCUCAAAGUACAUUUGUUACCAAAAUAUGUAUACAUUAUACAACCUUGAGAUUCGUCUCCUAACAGGCAGCCACGAAAUGUAGACACCCAUUGAAAAGGGACCGUCAAUCAGCCAAUGCUCAAAGAGAGAAAAUAAAAUCAUACAAACGCUAAUAGCAUUCAGAACUGAAGUUUUAUGAAGGACACCGAGCCAGGCAUCGCUGUAGUCAGAGCAGGCCACGGCCUCAGUUCAUCGCAGAGCUGAGUAAACAUCGUAAGAUCACAGACACGAAGCCAGGUAUCACUUUAGCCAGCACAGGCCUUGGCCUCAGUUCAGCCAGUCUGUCUAAAUGCCUUUUAAGUGGCUAUUAUUUCAGCUUCCAGUCCCUCCUCUGGCAGAGAUAUGCACCUGUCUCUCUGUACCCGAGAGAUCUCUUUUAAACUUCGCCCUGCCAUUCUAUAAUCUGACGUCCCCAAACUGACUAAAUCUGCCGUAUUUAUUCCUCUUAAGUGAGUGGGCAGAUGGAGUACAAUGUUGGUGAAUACGAAAUCAUCCACUUUAGAAGGGAAAAUGGAAGAUCAGAUUAUUAUCUAAAUGGUGAAAGAUUGCAACAUGCUGCUGUGCAGAGGGACUUGGGAGUGCUUGUGCAGGCUAUCAAGGCAAAUGGGAUAUUGGCCUUCAUUGCUCAAGAACUUCUAUAGUUGUACCAUGGAGAGCAUUCUGACAGGCUGCAUCACUGUCUGGUACGGAGGGGCUACUGCACAGGACCGAAAGAAGCUGCAGAGGGUUGUAAAUCUAGUCAGCUCCAUCUUGGGCACUAGCCUACAAAGUACCCAGGACAUCUUCAGGGAGCGGUGUCUCAGAAAGGCAGCGUCCAUUAUUAAGAACCUCCAGCACCCAGUGCAUGCCCUUUUCUCACUGUUACUGUCAGGAAGGAGGUACAGAAGCCUGAAGACACACACUCAGCGAUUCAGGAACAGCUUCAUCCCCUCUGUCAUCCGAUUCCUAAAUGAACAUUGAAGCUUUGGACACUACCUCCCUUUUUUAAUAUACAGUAUUUCUAUUUUUGCACAUUUUUUAAAUAAUCUAUUCAAUAUACGUAAUUGAUUUACUUGUUUAUCUAUUAUGUUUUUUUUUCUCUGUCUCUGCUAGAUUAUGUAUCUCAUUAAACUGCUGCUAAGUUGACAAAUUUCCCGUCACAUGCUGGUGAUGAUAAACCCGAUUCUGAUUCUCUGCUCGAGGGAUUGAAUUCAUGAGCAGGGAGAUUUUGCUGCAAUUGUACAGGGUACUGGUAAAACUGCAUCUGGAUUACUGUGUGUGGUGAACUACAUAUACCGGUCUGGACAUGCCCCCCCUGCUGACUGCUCCUGUGGCUCCUCCCACAGACCCCGGUAUAAAGGCGAUUGAGGCCUGAGCCCGGCCCUCCAGUCUCCAGGAUGUAGUGUGGUGGUCAAUUGCUGCUUGUUCUUUCUUCCAGUCAAUAAAAGCCAAUAUCUCGC